rnacentral:rRNA from 1 species
UACGUAGGGGGCAAGCGUUGUCCGGAUUUAUUGGGCGUAAAGAGCGUGUAGGCGGCCAGUUAGGUCCGUUGUGAAAACUCGAGGCUCAACCUCGAGACGUCGGCGGAAACCAUCUGGCUAGAGUCCGGAAGAGGAGAGUGGAAUUCCUGGUGUAGCGGUGAAAUGCGCAGAUAUCAGGAAGAACACACGUGGCGAAGGCGGCUCUCUGGGACGGUACUGACGCUGAGACGCGAAAGCGUGGGGAGCGAACAGG